UAAAGCAAAGAAGAGCGCAGAGUGAAUGCCUUGGCAUUGAGAGCCGAAGAAGGACGUGGUUAACUGCGAUAAGCAGCGGGGAGUUGUAAGCAAGCAUUGAUCCGCUGAUUUCCGAAUGGAGCAAUCCGCAUGAAGUAGUUCAUGCAUCCAUAUGUGAAUCAAUAGCAUAUGGAGGGGAACCGCCUGAACUGAAACAUCUAAGUAGGGCGAGGAAGAGAAAUCAACCGAGAUUCUGUGAGUAGUGGCGAGCGAAAGCGGAAGAGGCUAAACCGGAAGUAGCAAUACAUCCGGGGUUUUGGACGACAUUUAGUAUUCAUUUGAGCGAGCUGAAAUGUAUGGGAAGACAUACCGAAGAAUGUGAGAGUCAUGUAAGCGAAGUGAGAAUGAGCGAGUCGAAUCCGGAGUACCGCGGGACACGUGAAACCCCGUGGGAAGAUAGGGGGACCACCCUCUAAGCCUAAAUACUACCCAAUGACCGAUAGCGAAUAGUACUGUGAAGGAACGGUGAAAAGAACCCCGGGAGGGGAGUGAAAAAGAACCUGAAACCCUGUGCUUACAAGCACCGAGAGCACAUCAACGUGUGAUCGGGUACCUAUUGUAGAAUGGUCCGGCGAGUUAUUGUAUGCGGCGAGGUUAAGAGCUUAAGGCUCGGAGCCGAAGCGAGAGCGAGUCUGAAAAGGGCGUUAAGUCGUAUGCAAUAGACCCGAAACCGUGUGACCUACCCAUGUCCAGGCUGAAGUGGAGGUAAAACUCCAUGGAGGGCCGAACGCACGUCCGUUGAAAAGGCCGGCGAUGAGAUGUGGGUAGCGGAGAAAUUCCAAUCGAACUCGGAUAUAGCUGGUUCUCUCCGAAAUAGCUUUAGGGCUAGCCUCGUAAUAGAUUACCGGAUGUAAAGCACUGAAUAGGCUAGGGGUCGAGAGAUUACUGAACCUUAUCAAACUAAGAAGGCCGGAUAAUUGUUUUACGGGAGUCAGACAGCGUGAGAUAAGUUUCGUUGUCGAAAGGGAAAGAGCCCAGAUCUACAGCUAAGGUCCCUAAAUACUGUUAAGUGGAAAAGGAUGUGGAAUUGCAUAAACAACCAGGAUGUUGGCUUAGAAGCAGCCAUACAUUAAAAGAGUGCGUAAUAGCUCACUGGUCGAGUGACUCUGCGCCGAAAAUUCAACGGGGCUAAACAGUAUACCGAAGCUUAGGAUUGUGUCUUAUGACACAGUGGUAGGAGAGCGUUGUGUAAGGGGUGAAGUCAGAGCGGAAGCGCUGGUGGACUUUACAGAAGUGAGAAUGCCGGAAUGAGUAGCGAGAAUUAUGUGAGAAUCAUAAUGGCCGAAAAUCUAAGGUUUCCUGAGGAAGGUUCGUCCGCUCAGGGUAAGCCGGGAGCUAAGGUGAGGCUUAAAUGCGUAGCCGAUGCACAUACGGUUGAAAUUCCGUAGCCGCCGAAACUUAAAUGCAGGGACGCUUUGAAAGGACUUGAGCCGGGCGAUGGUUGACCCGGUCGAAAGGGACCGAAAAUUAGUAGGGAAGCAAGUCUGGACGAAGACAAGAAAAGCUGCAUGGUAUGCUAAGGCGCCCGUACCGCAAACCGACACAGGUAGAUAGGAAGAGGAUUCUAAGGCCAACGGGAGAAGGGUUGUUAAGGAACUCGGCAAGUUGACCCCGUAACUUCGGAAUAAGGGGUGCCUGCGAGAGCAGGUCGCAGAGAAUAGGCCCAGGCAACUGUUUAUCAAAAACACAGGUCUCUGCUAAAUCGAAAGAUGACGUAUAGGGGCUGACACCUGCCCGGUGCCGGAAGGUUAAGAGGAGAUGUGAGAGCAUUGAAUUGAAGCCCCGGUAAACGGCGGCCGUAACUAUAACGGUCCUAAGGUAGCGAAAUUCCUUGUCAGGUAAG
rnacentral:rRNA from 1 species